GGAGAAAUGGCCGAGUGGUCGAAGGCGCACGCCUGGAAAGUGUGUAUACCUCAAAAGGGUAUCAAGGGUUCGAAUCCCUUUUUCUCCG
rnacentral:tRNA from 7 species